rnacentral:rRNA from 1 species
UACGGAGGGUGCAAGCGUUAUCCGGAUUCACUGGGUUUAAAGGGUGCGUAGGAGGACGGGUAAGUCAGUGGUGAAAUCUCCGAGCUUAACUUGGAAACUGCCGUUGAUACUAUCUGCCUUGAAUAUUGUGGAGGUGAGCGGAAUAUGUCAUGUAGCGGUGAAAAUGCUUAGAUAUGACAUAGAACACCAAUUGCGAAGGCAGCUCGCUACACAUAUAUUGACUCUGAGGCACGAAAGCGUGGGGGAUCAAACAGG